rnacentral:rRNA from 1 species
UACAGAGGGGGCAAGCGUUGUUCGGAAUUACUGGGCGUAAAGGGCGCGUAGGCGGCCCGCUAAGUCGAACGUGAAAUCCCUGGGCUCAACCCAGGAACUGCGUCCGAUACUGGCAGGCUUGAAUCCGGGAGAGGGAUGUGGAAUUCCAGGUGUAGCGGUGAAAUGCGUAGAUAUCUGGAGGAACACCAGAAGCGAAGGCGGCCAACUGGCCCGAUACUGACGCUGAGGUGCGAGAGCGUGGGGAGCGAACCGG